rnacentral:rRNA from 1 species
GACGAACGCUGGCGGCGUGCUUAACACAUGCAAGUCGAACGGAAAGGCCCUGCUUUUGUGGGGUGCUCGAGUGGCGAACGGGUGAGUAACACGUGAGUAACCUGCCCUUGACUUUGGGAUAACUUCAGGAAACUGGGGCUAAUACCGGAUAGGAGCUCCUGCUGCAUGGUGGGGGUUGGAAAGUUUCGGCGGUUGGGGAUGGACUCGCGGCUUAUCAGCUUGUUGGUGGGGUAGUGGCUUACCAAGGCUUUGACGGGUAGCCGGCCUGAGAGGGUGACCGGCCACAUUGGGACUGAGAUACGGCCGAGACUCCUACGGGAGGCAGCAGUGGGGAAUAUUGCACAAUGGGCGGAAGCCUGAUGCAGCAACGCCGCGUGCGGGAUAACGGCCUUCGGGUUGUAAGCCGCUUUCGCCUGUGACGAAGCGUGAGUGAAGGUAAUGGGUAGAGAAGCACCUGCUAACUACGUG